rnacentral:tRNA from 1 species
UCCUCGCUAGCUCAGUCGGUUAGAGCACCUGACUGUUAAUCAGGGGGUCCUAGGUUCAAGUCCUAGGCGAGGAG